rnacentral:rRNA from 1 species
AGUACACAUCGACAAGGAGGUUUGGCACCUCGAUGUCGGGGCUCAUUGUAACCCGGGGGCGGAAGUACGUCCCAAGGAUUGGCCUGUUCGCCCA